rnacentral:rRNA from 1 species
UACGUAGGGUGCGAGCGUUAAUCGGAAUUACUGGGCGUAAAGCGUGCGCAGGCGGUUUUGUAAGACAGAUGUGAAAUCCCCGGGCUCAACCUGGGAACUGCAUUUGUGACUGCAUCGCUGGAGUACGGCAGAGGGGGAUGGAAUUCCGCGUGUAGCAGUGAAAUGCGUAGAGAUCCGGAAGAACACCGGUGGCGAAGGCGGAUCUCUGGGCCUUACCUGACGCUCAGGCACGAAAGCUAGGGGAGCGAACAGG